AGUCCCGUAGGGUAGUGGUCAAUCCUUCAGGCCUUUGGAGCCUGGGACUCCGGUUCGAAUCCGGGCGGGACUA
rnacentral:tRNA from 1 species